UACGAGUGCCUCGAGCGUUAUCCGGAAUUACUGGGCGUAAAGGGCUCGUAGGCGGCCAACUAAGUCAGACGUGAAAUCCCUCGGCUUAACCGGGGAACUGCGUCUGAUACUGGAUGGCUGGAGUUUGGGAGAGGGAUGCGGAAUUCCAGGUGUAGCGGUGAAAUGCGUAGAUAUCUGGAGGAACACCGGUGGCGAAGGCGGCAUCCUGGACCAAUACUGACGCUGAGGAGCGAAAGCCAGGGGAGCAAACGGG
rnacentral:rRNA from 1 species